GAUGAACGCUGGCGGCGUGCUUAACACAUGCAAGUCGAACGAUGAAGCCCAGCUUGCUGGGUGGAUUAGUGGCGAACGGGUGAGUAACACGUGAGUAACCUGCCCUUGACUCUGGGAUAAGCCUGGGAAACUGGGUCUAAUACUGGAUAUGACUUCUCAUCGCAUGGUGGGGGGUGGAAAGAUUUAUUGGUCUUGGAUGGACUCGCGGCCUAUCAGCUUGUUGGUGGGGUAAUGGCUCACCAAGGCGACGACGGGUAGCCGGCCUGAGAGGGGGACCGGCGAGACUGGGACUGAGAGACGGCCCAGACUCCUACGGGAGGCAGCAGUGGGGAAUAUUGCACAAUGGGCGCAAGCCUGAUGCAGCGACGCCGCGUGAGGGAUGACGGCCUUCGGGUUGUAAACCUCUUUCAGUAGGGAAGAAGCGAGAGUGGCGGUACCUGCAGAAGAAGCGCCGGCUAACUACGUG
rnacentral:rRNA from 1 species